rnacentral:lncRNA from 1 species
ACACAGGAGGAAUUAAUACGUACGUUCCCCAUUGUCACUAGGCAGAUUUGUACCGGGAUUGGGGACAGGCAAAGAUUUUAACAAAUCUGUCCUUUUCUUUGCUCGCACACCGCUCUUGUGCCCACAGUUACUGGUCUUAGGACCUAGAAAUGCAUGGUCAAGUCCCUUCAGCCACUAGCCACAGAGCACUGGUUCUCAACCUUCCUGAUGCUGUGACCCUUUAAUACAGUUCCUCGUGUUGUGGUGACCAACCAUAAAAUGAUUUCAUUGUUACUUCAUAACUGUAAUUUUGCUACUGUUAUGAAUUGUAAUGUAAAUAUUCUUGGAAAUAGAGGUUUGUUUUUUUUUUCCAAAGGGGCCCUCAGGUUGAAAAACACUACUCUUGCAUACUUGGACGUAGAUAUUCCAAACUAAGAGGUGUGGGUCUAACAUCCCUUUGUAAGAGUGGGUGUUGGGAAGGAGUGUACCUUUCUUGUAUUGAUAACAUCUUGGAAUUACUGUGAUUUGAAUUGAUAGCUGUCCUGUUUUUCUUUUUACUGCUCUGAUAAACUCUAACACCAAAGCAGCUUGGGGAGGAAAGGGGUUAUAGUUUACAGUUCCCUGAGAGACAGGGCAGGACCCUGGAGGCAGGGAGAGAAGCAGAGGCCACAGGGGCGGAGUGCUGCUGGCUGGUUUGUUCUCUUGCUCGGCCUGCUGUCUUAUUCCAUGAAGGACCACCUACCCAAGAGUGGCACUACCCACAGUAAGCUGGGCCCACCCUCCCUCAUCAAGAAAACCCCCCACAGUGCUGGAAUUACAAACAGGCUAAGACAAACUGCCUUUUUUUUUUUUUUUUAACUGGGUGCUGGGGUUUGAACUUGGGACUUUGUGCUUGCAUAUACAUACUUUGCCAACUGACCUAUUUCUCUGGCAAUUAUUUUUAAUGUGACUCACAUUUAAAUUGCAUCCACGGCUCCACCUGAGAAUGUAACAGGCAGACAAGAAGGGUUCCUAAGGAUCUGGUCACUGCUGAAGGAGGCUCCCUGGGAAGGAGGCUGGGAAGAGCUCCUGCAAUUUCCCACUGCUGCCCCACACAGCCUCCUGGGGAAUUUCACUUCCCUGCCUGCCAGCGCCAUGUGGCUCAGAAGGUCCUCUUAUCUGGCAUCUGUGACUGUUGACAGGAGGGUGUGUGUGCUGUAGGCCAGCUUUCUUAGACCAAGGUGGAGUCCUGAUUAGCGGCUAGAGACCUUUAGUCACCCUUUGGGCUUACACACAUUUGGUGAGUUGGUGCUGAUGGUUCUGAAUUCCCAGUUAGCUGCCGGGGACGAACUUGCUAUUGCUUGUGUUUGUGCCUGCAUUCUUUAAAAUUAAAAUGUCCUUGUUCGGAGUGUGUUGUGGAUGGAGUGUGGAGUGUAUAUUCAUAUGAGGAAGAGAACAUACACAGGUCAGCCCUGAGUUCCUUCCUCCAUUGCUUCUAUACAUUCUUUCUUCAUUCCCCCCCAACCCCCCCCCCCAGCACCCCUGCACCCUUCCCCUUUUUUUAGGCAGGACUUCUCACUGACCCUGGAGGAGACCUACUCCUGUCUGCCUUUCUAGAACUAAGAUUUCAGACUUCGUCUCCAUGCCUGGCUUUUAUCCCCCUGGGCACUGGGGAUCUGAAAUCAGGUCCCCAUGCAUGCACGGCUAACAUUUGCCAGCCUGAGCCUCAGUAUAUGUGCAGACAGCAGCAGUAGCAAAAAACCCUUAAGCGUCCUUUUGCUCUCCCUUCAGAUUUCUCUAUUUUUACGUUCUAGUGCAUUUACCUGCUUAUGUAGACAUGAAUUACAUGUGUAACUCAUGUUCACCAAAGCCCGAAGGCGGUGUAGGCUCCCUUGGAACGGUAUUUCCAGGCAGUUCUGAGCCGCCACGUGUGUAGUGGGAACUGAAUGCUGGGCUUCUGGAAAACCAGCGGGUGCUCCCAACCAACUGCUUGAGCAACCCCUCCAGAGCCAUUUUGGUUCUUUUUCCAGGAGUCGAAAUGUUUGCACCCUGUUGGCUCUGCUGUUUACAGUGAUGCUAGAACUUCUCCUCUUAAACAUGUUCCCCAAGAAGAGGUAUCUUUCUGUGCAGCAUCCAGGCAGAGGGCGCUUUUGUAGAUAUCUGUUGUCCCGUUGACACACCUUUGUGACAUUUGUAUGGAAAACAAAGCAUUUAGAUUGUGCAGCUGGAGAGAGAUCUUCCAGCUUGCCAUGGGGGAAGGAGAGGGCACAGCAUUGUGCAUUGUGUGGAAGGAUUAAGGUUCCUUGUCAGUUGAAGGGCAGAGGUGUGGGCUUCACAGAUGCGCAUCUAUACAGAGAUGCUUGCUUCACACACUUGGAGGGCAACUGCUGAUGCUGUCGAGUGGGAUGCCAUCGUACUUUCUCAGUGGCUGCGCGUUGCAGAGUCCCCAAGGCAUGCUAACGAAGAGUAUUCUUCGUUUCUAAGGCUGGCUGCAACUGCCUGAGCUUCUAAAGCUUUCUUUCUCUGAAAAGAGAUAGAAGGGAGCCAACCCCCAAGGGUGAUAACUCACUCCUCCCUAAAUACGACCAUCAGUCCAUUCAUGAACCUUUGCUCUCCUGACCCAACGACUCCACCUCUCAAAACAGUUGCACUGGUGGCUCAGGUUCCAGGAGGGUAGGGACAUUGGAAACACGAAAGCCCUGGUUUAGCAAGCUGUUUGGUUACACACGGGAACUUUUUAAAAAAUGUUUCAAAUGACAUAUUUUACACUGACCUUUCAACUCAAUAAUUUCAAAGCAAGAACUUGGAUUGCACUGGGUGUUCAUUAUAGAGGGAAAUUAUAGCUGUGGGGGUGUCUACUAGGGUUUCAUAGUAAACUCCCUAGGAGCGGUGAGGUCCAUCGUUGGACAGACUAUGUACCCCUGACCCUCCUCGGCUUUGCUUGGAGCUGAGGCUUUUCCCUCUGGGACCAACUCUGCAUCGGUGGCUUUUUGUACCCUGUGGUCUGUGUUUAAGCUGAAAGCCACUGUCUGUUUCUUGGGAUGUUUUCCCAGUCAGAGUAGGUUUGAGGGUCUCUGUGCUGGCUUGGUUAGUUCUGUGUCUAGUUUAUACAAGCCAGAGUUGUCUGAGGGGAGGGAACCUCAACUGACAAAAUACCCCUGGAAGACUCUGCUGUAGGCAGGCCUUUCGGGCAUGACCUUAAUUAGUGAUUGUGAGAGAGCCCAGCCCAUUCAGUGUUGUACCACCCAGGGCUAGUGGUCUCCAGUUCU